CCGAUGACAGCGCCAAUGUCCCAGAUGGCACGCAAUGCACGACUGAAGAAGAGUACCAAGACAGGACCUGGGCUGAACGUCGUUUCCAGUCCGGCCUGAGAACGGGGACGUGGCUUCGUAGGUUUUGGAUACGGCAGAGGAAGUCUGGUGCCAGAGCAAAAUGCUAAUCACACAUCACACAUCGGUCCCUUUCCACGUUCAUUUCUUCAAACCAAACUUGGAAGUCUUCGUCGCAUGCGCUUGGCAGCAUGACUCCACCAACAGCCAGAAACUGAGCGUCUCAGCACAUGUAGAAUCGCUACACGUUCCGUGUCCGUAGCUCGGCGGCGGCCUCGCGCUGGUCCUAAGUACUGAACAUUACUCGGGGAGCACGAAAGGAAAGACUUUACCGUCUGCUCUGAGACUUGGCAGACAGGAUGGCAGGCCCUGCCAACACAGCUGUCUGGCCGGCCGGUCACUCAGCCAACGACGCUCCCCGCUUGCCUGCGUCACGGCAGCCGGGCACAUCAGGACAAAAAGGUGGAAACGAACGCAAGAAAAACAGGCCGGGGUUCAGAGGCGCUUUCGGAGUGUGAGGGCUUUACA